rnacentral:rRNA from 1 species
UGAGGAACAUGACCUUCGGCGGGGGAUAGCCGGCCCAACGGCCGGGUAAUACCGCGUACGACCACUUGGGGACAUCCUCGAGUGGUGAAAGCAGCAAUGCGCCGAUGGAGUGCCUCGCGGCCUAUCAGCUAGUUGGUGGGGUAACGCCUACCAAGGCGACGACGGGUAGCUGGUCUGAGAGGAUGGCCAGCCACAUUGGGACUGAGACACGGCCCAGACUCCGUACGGGAGNAG